UGGGGAAUUUUGGACAAUGGGCGAAAGCCUGAUCCAGCAAUGCCGCGUGUGUGAAGAAGGCCUUCGGGUUGUAAAGCACUUUUGUCCGGAAAGAAAUCCUUGGCUCUAAUACAGUCGGGGGAUGACGGUACCGGAAGAAUAAGCACCGGCUAACUACGUGCCAGCAGCCGCGGUAAUACGUAGGGUGCAAGCGUUAAUCGGAAUUACUGGGCGUAAAGCGUGCGCAGGCGGUUUGCUAAGACCGAUGUGAAAUCCCCGGGCUCAACCUGGGAACUGCAUUGGUGACUGGCAGGCUAGAGUAUGGCAGAGGGGGGUAAAUUCCACGUGUAGCAGUGAAAUGCGUAGAGAUGUGGAGGAAUACCGAUGGCGAAGGCAGCCCCCUGGCCAAGUACUGACGCUCAUGCACGAAAGCGUGGGGAGCAAACAGGAUUAGAUACCCUGGUAGUCCACGCCCUAAACGAUGUCAACUAGUUGUUGGGGAUUCAUUUCCUUAGUAACGUAGCUAACGCGUGAAGUUGACCGCCUGGGGAGUACGGUCGCAAGAUUAAAACUCAAAGGAAUUGACGGGGUCAU
rnacentral:rRNA from 1 species